CAGUAGCCACGGUAAUACGGAGGGUGCAAGCGUUAAUCGGAAUUACUGUGCGUAAAGCGCACGCAGGCGGUCUGACAAGUCAGAUGUGAAAUCCCCGGGCUUAACCUGGGAACUGCAUUUGAAACUGUCAGGCUGGAGUCUUGUAGAGGGGGGUAGAAUUCCAGGUGUAGCGGUGAAAUGCGUAGAGAUCUGGAGGAAUACCGGUGGCGAAGGCGGCCCCCUGGACAAAGACUGACGCUCAGGUGCGAAAGCGUGGGGAGCAAACAGGAUUAGAUACCCCAGUAGUCCCUGUCUCUUAUAC
rnacentral:rRNA from 1 species